rnacentral:rRNA from 1 species
AGGAUGUUGGCUUAGAAGCAGCCAUCAUUUAAAGAAAGCGUAAUAGCUCACUGGUCGAGUCGGCCUGCGCGGAAGAUGUAACGGGGCUAAACCAUGCACCGAAGCUGCGGCAGCGACACUAUGUGUUGUUGGGUAGGGGAGCGUUCUGUAAGCCGUUGAAGGUGUGCUGUGAGGCAUGCUGGAGGUAUCAGAAGUGCGAAUGCUGACAUAAGUAACGAUAAAGCGGGUGAAAAGCCCGCUCGCCGGAAGACCAAGGGUUCCUGUCCAACGUUAAUCGGGGCAGGGUGAGUCGACCCCUAAGGCGAGGCCGAAAGGCGUAGUCGAUGGGAAACAGGUUAAUAUUCCUGUACUUGGUGUUACUGCGAAGGGGGGACGGAGAAGGCUAUGUUAGCCGGGCGACGGUUGUCCCGGUUUAAGCAUGUAGGCGGAACGACCAGGUAAAUCCGGUCGUUUUUUAACGCUGAGGUGUGAUGACGAGGCACUACGGUGCUGAAGUAACAAAUGCCCUGCUUCCAGGAAAAGCCUCUAAGCAUCAGGUAACAUCAAAUCGUACCC